UGGCCCUGUGAGGACCGUGGCUUCUUCCUCUAUGGGUUGUGGGAAGCAGCUGACAGUGAGGGCAGAGGAGUGACAGACAGGUCUUGACUCAAUUCCAGAGAGAGAAACAGAGAAAGACAGGAGCAGGGAGAGUCACUGGGUUCACUGGAUACAGCAGUGACACCGGCUCAACUCUACAGAGAGUUCCAGCCACAUCUGACACGAGACCGACAGGUCUAGCCUGUGCUCAAAUAAGGGGAUGGGGCCAGGUUUACACUGCAGCAGCCUAGCAGGGCUGCCCCUCCUCAGUAACCAUUGCCAGCUACUCACCCUCACAGUUCCUUGUGACAGCCCUGGCUGCCCAGAGCUGCUCAGCCAAGAAGGUUGCCAUGGAGACGAGCCCAUGUAGGCUUCCCCAUCAGUGUGCCAGCAACUUUUCAAAAUGGCUUGGGAGCCCUGGGGUUCCAGUGCAGGCCGUGCAGGAAGCUGGAGAAGGGACGGAUGUUUUGAUUCCUCUUGUUCUCAUGUCCCCCUUCCCCUUCUGCCAGGCAGAACAGCUCCUUCCGGACACUGCUGGCUCCCUUGGGCUUCCAGCCUUCAGAACCAUACAGCCAAUAAACGCCUGCUGCAGAUGAAUUGCUCAGCCAGGGGUAUUCUGUUAUCAAGGCAGAAUUAGAAUAUGGACCAAAACCUUGUGUAUCUCAGCAGACAUGUUUUAUUGCUGGUGGCUGAGUUUGUAUACACAUUAAAAUUUGAUGAGGAAGUGGGGUGGGGGGAUGCCAUCACAUCACGGGUGUGUGGACACAGUGUGUGGACACCGCCAGACACAAGCCAUGUAAACCAUGCAUGGAGUCAGUGAUCUAAAUGGUACAUGGAAGCUAAAAGCGUCCUGGGAACCACACUUCAGUGGGGAUAGUUGCCUUAGGAGCAAGUGAACAGCAUUCACCGAGGCUGGAAAUGAAUCUUGUAUUGGGCAGCAGAUCCAGGGCCUGAGCAAGCCAGACAAGCACUCUACCACUGAGUACGCCCUACACCUUGGUUUUCUAUGUAGACGUUGUGUGUAAAGAAAAGAACCUUAUAACUAUACUCACCCAGCCGAUGUGGCUGCAAGCCUGGAUCCCCCCCCCCCCUUGUCCCUUCCCUGGGUAUUCAGUUAAAUCCUCUUCCCCCUGGCUCUCCAGGCAGUCUCAUUCCUUAUGCUCACCUCUCUGAUGGAGAUAGCGGAGGCCUCAACUCUCCCAGCUGCCUGGCCAUUCUGCCACAGAGAGUAAGCAGCUGUUACUCCAAACAGCUGAUUGGAUCUCAGAAGCCAGCGGGUGCAAGCUUCGAUUCCAGAUCAGCAUAGAAGGAGCUGUGUUCAAGGUCACACUCUUCCACCUCCCAGUUCUCCCCCCGCCCACCACUGCUCCCAAAGCCCCGAGCUCUCCUGACUGGAAGAACUAUUUCUAAAAGCCUUUCCUCCCACCCCACCCUGGCAACUCUCUCAGAACAAUAAACUGAAUUGUUUAAAUUUAAUUUGUUAGAUGUCUGAUGUUUCAUUUGAAAAUAUCUAAUGAAUGAUUAACAUUUGAUAAAUAAUAAAAUUUAGCAUCUAUUAACUCGGGUUUAAAUAAUAAACAAUUUAAUUGCUU
ensembl:processed_transcript Gm11732 predicted gene 11732